rnacentral:rRNA from 1 species
UACGGAGGGCGCAAGCGUUGUUUGGAAUUACUGGGCGUAAAGCGCGUGUAGGUGGCCUGGCAAGUCGGGUGUGAAAUCCCGGAGCUCAACUCCGGAACUGCAUCCGAUACUGCCAAGCUCGAGUCUCGGAGAGGAUGGCGGAAUUUCCGGUGUAGAAGUGAAAUUCGUAGAUAUCGGAAGGAACACCAGUGGCGAAGGCGGCCGUCUGGACGAUGACUGACACUGAGACGCGAAAGCGUGGGGAGCAAACAGG